rnacentral:rRNA from 1 species
AUUGAACGCUGGCGGCAUGCCUUACACAUGCAAGUCGAACGGCAGCACGGGAGCAAUCCUGGUGGCGAGUGGCGAACGGGUGAGUAAUAUAUCGGAACGUGCCCAGUCGUGGGGGAUAACGUAGCGAAAGCUACGCUAAUACCGCAUACGAUCUAUGGAUGAAAGCGGGGGAUCGCAAGACCUCGCGCGAUUGGAGCGGCCGAUAUCAGAUUAGGUAGUUGGUGAGGUAAAGGCUCACCAAGCCGACGAUCUGUAGCUGGUCUGAGAGGACGACCAGCCACACUGGGACUGAGACACGGCCCACGACUCCCUACGGGAGGCAGCAGUGGGGAAUUUUGGACAAUGGGCGCAAGACCUGAUCCAGCAAUGCCGCGUGCAGGA